rnacentral:rRNA from 1 species
AUUGAACGCUGGCGGCAGGCCUAACACAUGUAAGUCGAGCGAGAGGCGGAGGGGUGAGUAAUGUCUGGGAAACUGCCUGAUGGAGGGGGAUAACUACUGGAAACGGUAGAUAAUACCGCAUACCAUCAGAUGUGCCCAGGAGGGAUUAGCUAGGAGGGGGGGUACUGGCGCACAUGGGCGACGAUCCCUAGCUGGUCUGAGAGGAUGACACGCCACACUGGAACUGAGACACGGUCCAGACUCGUACGGGAGGAAGCAGUGGGGAAUAUUGCACAAUGGGCGCAAGCCUGAUGCAGCCAUGCCGCGUGUGUGAAGAAGGCCUUCGGGUUGUAAAGCACUUUCAUCGGGGAGGCGUUACUCGCAGAAGAAGCACCGGCUAACUCCGUGCCAGCAGCCGCGGUAAUAC